GGCCAAGACUGACCAGGGGGAGGAGGAUUUGAUGCUGUUGUUUACUUUCUCUAUAAGAGUUAUUUAUUCAGGGCCUUCUACAAAGCUUUAUGAAAUGAGUCUCAGAACUGUUCACUGAAGGCAAGAAUGGAGGAAGCAUUUUUACAUUGACUGCUAUUGCCUUCGAUCAAAGAACAGUGAUUUUCAACUGGCGUGCUAUGAAAGGAUCUUAGGCAUGCCAUGAAAAUGUUUAAAGAUCAUUAAAUUAUGUUCAACAGAAGUUCAAAGCACAAUUUCUUCCAGGUCCUGCAUUCCAGUGGCUGACUGACCCAGCCAGCCAGACCAAGGAACUAACUCAACUGGUCUUGGCCACCCCCUCACCCCAAGAAACUAUAGUCCAGCGAUAACCUGACUCCCCUAGAUGGUGGUUCAUAUCAAAGGACUGAUGGUUCCACCCUGAACCCAGCCAAUUAGCAGAUUCCAAUUGCCUAAUCCUCUGCCCACCAAACUGUCUUUACAAACCCUGUCUCCCUGAUUCUUGGGGAAGUAGAUCUGAGAAAUUCCUUCCAUCUCCCUGCUCAACACUGUGUGGAAUAAACUCUCUGCUGUAAACCCUGCUAUCUCUGGAUAUUGGCCUCCUCCUGAGCAGUGGACAGAUAAAGCUGGUUGGGUGGUAACAAGAAAAAUGUA